CCCUUAGAUGUUCUGGGCUGCACGCGCGCUACACUGAUGCGCUCAACGAGUUUACGAACUUGCCCGGAAGGGUUGGUUAAUCUUUUUAAAACGCAUCGUGAUGGGGAUAGAUUAUUGCAAUUAUUAAUCUUCAACGAGGAAUUCCUAGUAAGCGCGAGUCAUCAGCUCGCACUGAUUACGUCCCUGCCCUUUGUACACACCGCCCGUCGCUACUACCGAUUGAACGUUUUAGUGAGGUAUUUGGACUGGACCUUCGGAGGUUCGCGCCUCCGUUGCUGUUCGGGAAGACUCCCAAACUUGAGCGUUUAGAGGAAGUAAAAGUCGUAACA
rnacentral:rRNA from 1 species